rnacentral:lncRNA from 1 species
CUAGGCCUGGGCUCAGCCCCACUCUGGAGCUUCCCCCCAGCCAGCCCAACCCUACCGUCUGUCAGGUCUGCAGCCUUGUGUCAUAGACAGAGGUAACCCUUGUCAGUGCCAGGAACAAGUUGGGAGGGACUGGCUCAGGCGACAGGAGCUUGGUGUGGUCUUCCUUCUGUCUUGUCUGCUCAUGGCCGGGCUGGUGAGGUGGUGGAGGUCCCUGGCGGUGGCUAACCUGCAUGCCUCGCUGGUCCUGUCCUAACAGGGCGUGUCGUUUGACCAGGCCAAUAACCUGCUGAUAGAGCCUGCUCGCAUUGAGGAGGAAGAGGUCUGUACUGCUCACUGCUGCUCUGUGCUCUGGGCCCGGGUCUGCUGCUGACCUUGCUUCCUGGGCUGCGGGUUCUUGCCUCUCCCCACCCCAUCACUUAAGCAUAGACCCUUUCCCAGAAGAGCUCCUGGCAGCUGCUACAGAAAUGGGGUCCUGGGGCUGCCCCGAUAGGGCCUGCUGGUCUUUUGGCAGAGGCAGCACAUCUCUGCCCCCACUGCGGCCUUUCUUGUAGAGGACAAACAGAGGGCCAACGCCAGGCCAUCCGUGUUCAUUCUCUGCAGCUGUGACUGCCCCACGCCUCAGAUACCUCCCAGCUCCUCUUCUGCCUCUGCUACCCUGGCAGGCGGAGGGACCUCAAAAAGAAACCAAAAGGAGCUGUCUGUGGCUGGCCUUGCUGUGCCGCAAGCACACAGACGGCUCAAGCCCUCCCAAACACAGUGUCUGCUCUGUUUCCAGCUGACCCUCACCAUCGUGCGCCAGACUGGGGGCCUUGGCAUCAGCAUCGCAGGGGGCAAGGGUUCCACCCCCUACAAGGGAGAUGACGAGGUGAGCAGCUGCCCCAGGCUAUAGCUGCCCUGGGCUCCCUCCUGCCCCAGACCUGCCUACACUCACUGGCCCAGAGGCUUCUGCUCCAAGGGGUGUUGGAUGCCUGCCGCCAGCCCCACAGUUCAGUCUUCUGUGUGCUUUGCCUGCACUUGGCCACCAGCCCCAGAGUGCACAGGCUGGGCCCAAGGCAGCAGGCAGACGGGGAUGUGCGCACGUGGGAGUUCACAGUCUAGAGCAGCUUGUUUCUCUUCUGCAAUCUGGUCUUCCCUCACACACUCUGGGCGUAGUGCCCGGGUCAAAGCCCUGACCCGCACUUUCUACUUCCUGGACGUAGGACCCACAGUGGUCUCUACUUAGGCCGUAUGUCUUCCUUCAUGUUCUUGGGGAUCUUUGCAGCAUCCCCAGAGAGCAGGCUGGGCUAGGGUCUGAAGGGACCAGGUCUCCCUCCAGUAAGUGCCUCCUGGCCUCCCAGAAAGGGCAAGACAGAAGGCUCUUAAGGAAUCCCCAACUCCUGUCCCCAGGGUGUCUUCAUUUCUCGGGUGUCUGAGGAGGGCCCUGCGGCCCGGGCUGGAGUCCGAGUGGGCGACAAACUCCUUGAGGUGAGUAGUGACUGCUGGCCAGUGACACCUGUGCUCUGGGGUGCCAUCUGGGCUGUUGGGGUAUUUAGUUGUGCCUAUCGGAUGGGGGCACUGUCUACCCUCUCCAGAAGCCCUGAGCCCCAGACCCCAGGACUCCCCCAAACCCUCUUUGGGCAGGAUGUGUAGUGCAGGCACCUAAAACCCCAGAAUCGGGAGGGCUGGGAAAGGGGUCAGACCCCAGCAGGUUGUGGGGCUCAGAUCCUUGUGAGAGACUUGGCACCCCCACCAGGGCACCUGGCUGUUGGAUAUAGGCUGUGCCCUUCCUGUGGGGACAAGGGUGAGGGCCCUGAGGGUAUCAGAAGAGGCUGGUGCUCCUCCUGCUCUCCUGCUCAGCUCUCUUCCCAGCCUCUCUUGGGGGCUCCUGUCCAAGGUGGCGUGUGAGUGUGGGGUCGGUGACCUGGUAAUCCUGGGCAUUCUCUGGGGCUGCUCAGACAGACCCAGAUGGUAGGUUUCCAGAAGCAAGGUGAGUGGUGUGGACUGUUCCAGGGGCAGAUGCCUGUGCUCUGGGAACCGCCAUAGGUGGGGACGAAGCCCAUCAGGAGCUCUGGGUACCCCCUCUCCCUGCCCUUCCCAUCCAUGGAGGGAAGCGUGGGCAGAGGCCACACGAGCCGUUGUCAUGGCGUCAGUGCUCAGGUGUCGGGGUGGCCGCAGCUGGGUGCUGACGUGUGCCGGGCCUCCCACACCUACAGGUGAACGGCGUGGCUUUGCAGGACGCUGAGCACCAUGAGGCUGUGGAGGCCCUCCGAGGGGCAGGCACAGCCGUGCAGAUGCGUGUGUGGCGGGAACGCAUGGUAGAACCUGAGAACGCAGUCACCAUCACACCCCUGCGGCCCGAGGACGACUACAGCCCCCGAGAGCGGCGGGGAGGCGGCCUGCGCCUGCCCCUGCUGCAGCCGGAGCUCCCUGGGCCUGUGCGCCAGUGCCAUGUGGCCUGCCUGGUGCGCAGCGAGAAGGGGCUGGGCUUCAGCAUUGCUGGGGGGAAAGGCUCCACACCCUACCGGGCCGGUGACGGGGUAAGGCAGGGUGGCUGGGGGUGCAGGGAGGGCUCUGGGGCAUCCGUGCCUGCUGGCCGUGCCUGCUGGCCUCACGGUGGCGGCUCCCCCAUCCCUGCAGGGCAUCUUCGUCUCCCGCAUUGCCGAGGGUGGUGCUGCCCAUCGAGCAGGCUCGCUGCAGGUUGGCGACCGUGUUCUCUCGGUGAGUGGGAUGGGCAGGGCCUGCUCAGUGCCUUGUCCUGCCCACCCUUUCUCACCUGAGUGUCCCUCACAGAUCAACGGGGUGGACGUGACUGAGGCCAGGCAUGACCAUGCUGUGUCACUGCUGACUGCUGCCUCCCCCACCAUCGCCCUGCUGCUGGAACGGGAGACAGGGGGACCCCCUCCCUCCAGCACCCCCCCACUUUCCUCCCCAACUCCCACUGUUGCUGCUGCCACCACCACGACCACUGCUGCCCCUGGAGAGCCUGGGCUGCCCAGGCUGGCCCCUGCUCUCCUGGCUGCUGCCCUAGAAGGACCGUACCCAGUGGAGGUGAGCCUCCAGCUGCCCCCUGCCAGGCAUCCGCUCAGCUCUGCUGUGGGUGUGCACUCUCCCAGAGCCCCUGCUCAUGGCCCUGCAGCCACUCUGGGCAGAAAGGAACUUGCACAUUUUUCCCCAUGUGCCUGAGAAACGGAGCCCUCCUCCACGAGGUGACUCCUUGCUGUGGUCCACCUGCCCCACACCACCUCCCUGCCAGGCCACCCAUGAGGACACAGGCUUUAGCUGCAUGGGUGUCUGGGCAGUGGGGUUUUGCAGAGGCAAUGGGAAUCCCUGCAGGUGCCUGGGGCUCCCCGAACUCUGUUCCCAACCACAGAGACCAGCAGUUCCCCUACUUCUUUCCACUCUUUCCCUUCUCUGAGGCCUGUCCCAUGUCCCCAGGAGGUUCGUCUGCCUAGGGCUGGGGGCCCCCUGGGGCUCAGCAUUGUUGGGGGCUCCGACCAUUCCAGCCACCCGUUUGGUGUCCAGGAGCCCGGCGUAUUCAUCUCCAAGGUAGAUAGAGGCCCUGGUGGGUGGAUCUGGACAGAGGGGACCUAUCCUGCCCACCCUGGGGGGCCCACCGGCUGCUGCCUUCCUCUUCAACAGGUGCUCCCACGCGGCCUGGCCGCUCGCUGUGGCCUGCGGGUGGGGGACCGCAUUCUGGCAGUAAAUGGGCAGGAUGUUCGGGAGGCCACUCACCAAGAGGCGGUCAGUGCCCUGCUCCGGCCCUGCCUAGAACUGUCCCUGGUGGUGCGGAGGGACCCUCCACCUCCAGGCAUGCGGGAGCUCUGCAUCCAGAAGGCCCCUGGGGAGAAGCUGGGGAUCAGCAUCCGUGGGGGUGCCAAGGGCCAUGCAGGGAACCCCUGCGACCCCACAGACGAGGGCAUCUUCAUUUCCAAGGUAAGGACCCUGCCCUUCUGCUUCUGUGGGCAGGUCCCAGUUCAGAGUCUCAGGUGGGUCUCUCCACAGGUAAGCCCUACGGGGGCAGCCGGGCGUGACGGCCGGCUGCACGUGGGGCUCCGGCUGCUGGAGGUGAACCAGCAGAGCCUGCUGGGCCUGACACACGCAGAGGCCGUGCAGCUGCUGCGCAGCGUGGGUGACAGCCUGA